rnacentral:rRNA from 1 species
UACGGAGGGGGGCUAGCGUUGUUCGGAAUUACUGGGCGUAAAGCGCACGUAGGCGGCUUUGUAAGUUAGAGGUGAAAGCCCAGGGCUUAACCCUGGAAUUGCCUUUAAGACUGCAUCGCUAGAAUCGUGGAGAGGUGAGUGGAAUUCCGAGUGUAGAGGUGAAAUUCGUAGAGAUCGGGAGGAACACCAGAGGCGAAGGCGGCGACCUGGACAGGUACUGACACUCAACUACGAAAAGCGUGGGGGAGCAAACAGG